GACGGCCAUGGUGACUUGCAAGCAACUCACUGCACUUAGGCACUGGACUACCUGAAUUUUUAAUUCAGUGACGGAAGGCUGCUGGGUGUAGUCAAGUACUUGACUUGUCGGUGCGUGUAUCAAGAUGGGAUUGACCACUCCAGUUUAGGAGUUGUAUACAGUCAUAUUUCAAUUUAGCAAAACUUUGGCCAGGGUAGUCUUUGUGAGGAGUCACAGGACUGUUUGAGUUGAGCAUGAUUCAGAUGAUCUAAUCAGGGUGGACAGUUUAACCCUGAGUCAUCCUAAACACAGAGGUCAAAAGGAUGAAUUAUACAGUAACCAUAUUCA
rnacentral:lncRNA from 1 species